GAAUUACUGGGCGUAAAGCGAGCGUAGGUGGCUUAAUAAGUCAGAUGUGAAAUCCCCGGGCUUAACCUGGGAACUGCAUCUGAUACUGUUAAGCUAGAGUAGGUGAGAGGGAAGUAGAAUUCCAGGUGUAGCGGUGAAAUGCGUAGAGAUCUGGAGGAAUACCGAUGGCGAAGGCAGCUUCCUGGCAUCAUACUGACACUGAGGCUCGAAAGCGUGGGUAGCAAACAGGAUUAGAUACCCUGGUAGUCCACGCCGUAAACGAUGUCUACUAGUCGUUGGGUCCCUUGAGGACUUAGUGACGCAGCUAACGCAAUAAGUAGACCGCCUGGGGAGUACGGCCGCAAGGUUAAAACUCAAAUGAAUUGACGGGGGCCCGCACAAGCGGUGGAGCAUGUGGUUUAAUUCGAUGCAACGCGAAGAACCUUACCUGGUCUUGACAUACACAGAAUCUUGUAGAGAUACGAGAGUGCCUUCGGGAAUUGUGAUACAGGUGCUGCAUGGCUGUCGUCAGCUCGUGUCGUGAGAUGUUGGGUUAAGUCCCGCAACGAGCGCAACCCUUGUCCUUAGUUACCAGCGGGUUAAGCCGGGAACUCUAAGGAUACUGCCAGUGACAAACUGGAGGAAGGCGGGGACGACGUCAAGUCAUCAUGGCCCUUACGACCAGGGCUACACACGUGCUACAAUGGUAGGUACAGAGGGCAGCUACACAGCGAUGUGAUGCGAAUCUCAAAAAGCCUAUCGUAGUCCAGAUUGGAGUCUGCAACUCGACUCCAUGAAGUAGGAAUCGCUAGUAAUCGCGGAUCAGAAUGCCGCGGUGAAUACGUUCCCGGGCCUUGUACACACC
rnacentral:rRNA from 1 species